rnacentral:tRNA from 1 species
AAGAAGUGACUAUACCCUAUCGAUACCUUCUAAGUAUCAAUAAAGAGGUGAAACUCCUUUUACUUCUUU